GACGAACGCUGGCGGCGUGCCUAAUACAUGCAAGUCGAGCGGAUUGAUGGGAGCUUGCUCCCUGAUAUCAGCGGCGGACGGGUGAGUAACACGUGGGCAACCUGCCUAUAAGACUGGGAUAACUUCGGGAAACCGGAGCUAAUACCGGAUAAUCCCUUUCCUCUCAUGAGGAAAGGCUGAAAGAUGGUUUACGCUAUCACUUAUAGAUGGGCCCGCGGCCCAUUAGCUAGUUGGUGAGGUAACGGCUCACCAAGACAACGAUGCGUAGCCGCCCUGAGAGGGUGAUCGGCCACACUGGGACUGAGACACGGCCCAGACUCCCACGGGAGGCAGCAGUAGGGAAUCUUCCGCAAUGGACGAAAGUCUGACGGAGCAACGCCGCGUGAGUGAUGAAGGUUUUCGGAUCGUAAAACUCUGUUGUUAGGGAAGAACAAGUACGAGAGUAACUGCUCGUACCUUGACGGUACCUAACCAGAAAGCCACGGCUAACUACGUGCCAGCCGCCGCCGUAA
rnacentral:rRNA from 1 species